UACGAAGGGGGCUAGCGUUGCUCGGAAUCACUGGGCGUAAAGCGCACGUAGGCGGAUCUUUAAGUCAGGGGUGAAAUCCUGGAGCUCAACUCCAGAACUGCCUUUGAUACUGAGGAUCUCGAGUCCGGAAGAGGUGAGUGGAACUCCGAGUGUAGAGGUGAAAUUCGUAGAUAUUCGGGAGAACACCAGUGGCGAAGGCGGCUCACUGGUCCGGUACUGACGCUGAGGUGCGAAAGCGUGGGGAGCAAACAGG
rnacentral:rRNA from 1 species